rnacentral:rRNA from 1 species
UACGAAGGGGGCUAGCGUUGCUCGGAAUCACUGGGCGUAAGGGGUGCGUAGGCGGGUCUUUAAGUCAGGGGUGAAAUCCUGGAGCUCAACUCCAGAACUGCCUUUGAUACUGAAGAUCUUGAGUUCGGGAGGGGUGAGUGGAACUGCGAGUGUAGAGGUGAAAUUCGUAGAUAUUCGCAAGAACACCAGUGGCGAAGGCGGCUCACUGGCCCGAUACUGACGCUGAGGCACGAAAGCGUGGGGAGCAAACAGG